rnacentral:sRNA from 2 species
ACCCACCGCCGCCAACCUACCUACCGCUGCCAAUCUACCUACCGCUGCCAACCUAUCUAUCGCUGCUAAUCUAUCGCUGCUAAUCUAUCGCUGCUAAUCUAUCGCUGCUAAUCUAUCGCUGCUAAUCUAUCGCUGCUAAUCUAUCGCCGCCAACCUACCUACCGCUGCCAACCUACCUACCGCUGCCAACCUAUCUAUCGCUGCUAAUCUAUCGCUGCUAAUCUAUCGCUGCUAAUCUAUCGCUGCUAAUCUAUCGCCGCCAACCUACCUACCGCUGCCAACCUACCUACCGCUGCCAACCUAUCUAUCGCUGCUAAUCUAUCGCUGCUAAUCUAUCACUGCUAAUCUAUCGCUGCUAAUCUAUCACUGCUAAUCUAUCGCUGCUAAUCUAUCGCCGCCAACCUACCUACCGCUGCCAACCUACCUACCGCUGCCAACCUAUCUAUCGCUGCUAAUCUAUCGCUGCUAAUCUAUCACUGCUAAUCUAUCGCUGCUAAUCUAUCACCGCCAACCUACCUACCGCUGCCAACCUACCUACCGCUGCCAACCUAUCUAUCGCUGCCAACCUAUAUAGGAUAAAUCAUGGUCCCAUUUGGUCCCAUUUUGUAAAAUGAGAUCAAAUGAGACCAGAAUCACUAAUUUAUUAGUAAAACAUGAUCUGAGACUAGAUUUAUAAUAUAAACAGUGUAAAGUGACUAAUUUGCUAAAUACUAUAUGAGAUCAGAACUAAGAUAUCUAAUAAUGAGACUGAGGAAAAAUUUGAUCCCAGUUUUAUACAUGAUCACACAGCCAGUCUAUAUUCUUCUAUAUUAAUAUUGAAUUUUAUUAUAUUGUAGAAAAUAGAUUCUCUAGAGUUAUUGAAUUCAUUCAAUUUAUACAGU